rnacentral:tmRNA from 1 species
GGGGAUGUUUUGGUUUUGACAGCAAUCGAUUUCUACAGGUAAGCACGCCGAGAGUCGUGGCCCCUCUCGCUAAUCUCAGACCUCACGCCUUAAAUGGCAACAACAACUAUGCACUCGCUGCGUAAUCUUGGCUAAGCCGAUUACCUUAAUCCGCCCGACAAGGUCGGGCCGACGAGCGUCCCGCCGGAUUUUUUUGGAAGUUCGGUCCGGAGUCCGGGGCGUAGGCAGAACAAAUUCCUGCUCGCAUCCAUGCUUCUGUCGAUGCGAAAAGAUUUAGAAGAUAAGGGAGUGUUAGCCCGCCGACCGGCGGAUGCUCCCCGACAAUCAAAGGCCGGAUAAGCGUGUAGAAAGCUUGCGGGGACGUUGUUUGGACGGCGGUUCGAGUCCGCCCAUCUCCAC